AACGAACGCUGGCGGCAGGCCUAACACAUGCAAGUCGAACGCUCCAGCAAUGGAGAGUGGCAGACGGGUGAGUAACGCGUGGGAACCUACCCUUUGGUUCGGAAUAGCCCAGGGAAACUCGGGGUAAUACCGAAUAAGCCCUUACGGGAAGAUUUAUCGCCAUUGGAUGGGCCCGCGUCGGAUUAGCUAGUUGGUGAGGUAACGGCUCACCAAGGCGACGAUCCGUAGCUGGUCUGAGAGGAUGAUCAGCCACACUGGGACUGAGACACGGCCCAGACUCCUACGGGAGGCAGCGGUGGGGAAGUUUUGCGCAAUGGGCGAAAGCCUGACGCGAGUAACGCCGACGUGGAGGAUGAAGGCCU
rnacentral:rRNA from 1 species